rnacentral:tRNA from 1 species
AAAGAUUUAGUUUAAUCAAAACAUUAAGUUGUCAAUUUAAAAUUAUUUAAUAAAUAAUCUUUU